UCCGAUUCAUCACCGGCAGUCUCCUUAGAGUCCCCGACUUUACUCGCUGGUAACUAAGGAUAAGGGUUGCGCUCGUUACGGGACUUAACCCAACAUCUCACAACACGAGCUGACGACAGCCAUGCAGCACCUGUCUCUACGCUCCUUUCGGCACUCCAGCCUCUCAGCCAGAUUCGCAGGAUGUCAAGAGUAGGUAAGGUUCUUCGCGUUGCAUCGAAUUAAACCACAUGCUCCACCGCUUGUGCGGGCCCCCGUCAAUUCCUUUGAGUUUCAACCUUGCGGCCGUACUUCCCAGGCGGAAGACUUAUCGCGUUAGCUUCAAUACAGAAUGGUCGCCCAUCCCACAUUUAGUCCUCAUCGUUUACAGCGUGGACUAC
rnacentral:misc_RNA from 1 species